CCAUUCCCCUCGUGUGCCUUGCCGUCCCACGACUCGGCCGCGUCGACGUCUCAACGAGAGACUCGGUGAAAUUUUAGUAACCUGUGAAGAUGCAGGUUACCCGCGACAGGACGGAAAGACCCCGAUGGAGCGUUUACUGCAGUUUGAUAUUGAGUAUCUGUACCACAUGUACAGGAUAGGUAGGAGCCUAUGACCUCGGGACGCCAGUUUCGAGUGAGGCGUUGUUGGGAUACUACCCUUGUGUUAUGGCUACUCUAACCCGCGCCACUGAUCGUGGCGGGAGACAGUGUCAGGUAGGCAGUUUGACGUGGGGCGGUCGCCUCCUAAAAUGUAACGGAGGCGCCCAAAGGUUCCCUCAGAAUGGUUGGAAAUCAUUCGCAGAGUGUAAAGGUAGAAGGGAGCUUGACUGCGAGACUGACAAGUCGAGCAGGGACGAAAGUCGGGCUUAGUGAUCCGGUGGUUCCGUAUGGAAGGGCCAUCGCUCAACGGAUAAAAAGCUACCCUGGGGAUAACAGGCUUAUCUCCCGUCGACGCGGCCG
rnacentral:rRNA from 1 species